rnacentral:rRNA from 1 species
GGGGGGGGCUGGGGGGGGGCCUGGCGGGGGGGAGUCGGGCGGGAGCACGGGAGGGGCUGGCUGUUACGGGUGGGGAGUGGCGGGCGGGGGGGUAAUGCCUCGGAAUCUACUUUUUCGUGGGGGAUGACGUAGGGGAACUUACGCUCAUCCCGCAUACGCCCUCCUGGUGACAGACGGGGAUCUUCGGACCUUGCGCGAUUUAAUGAGCCGAUGUCGGAUUAGCGAGUUGGCGGGUGAAAGGCCCACCAAGGCGCCGAUCCGUAGCUGGUCUGAGUGGAUGAUCAGCCACACUGGAACUGAGACACGGUCCAGGCUCCUACGGGAGGCAGCAGUGGGGAAUAUUGGACAAUGGGCGCAAGCCUGAUCCAGCCAUACCGCGUGGGUGAAGAAGGCCUUCGGGUUGUAAAGCCCUUUUGUUGGGAAAGAAAAGCAGCAGGUUAAUACCCCGCUGUUCUGACGGUACCCAAAGAAUAAGCACCGGCUAACUUCGUG